rnacentral:sRNA from 1 species
AUUGAGCAGAAGAAGAAGAAGAAGAAGAAUUAAGAAGAGAAAGAAAAC